UACGUAGGGUGCAAGCGUUGUCCGGAAUUAUUGGGCGUAAAGAGCUCGUAGGCGGUCUGUCGCGUCUGCUGUGAAAACUCGGGGCUUAACCCCGGGCCUGCAGUGGGUACGGGCAGACUAGAGUGCGGUAGGGGAGACUGGAAUUCCUGGUGUAGCGGUGAAAUGCGCAGAUAUCAGGAAGAACACCAAUGGCGAAGGCAGCUCUCUGGGACGGUACUGACACUGAGACGCGAAAGCGUGGGGAGCGAACAGG
rnacentral:rRNA from 1 species